AUGGACUACAAGACAGGACUGCUGUUUUUAACUCUCUGCUGGGCAGGUGUUGAUGGUCAGACUCUGACUGAGUCUGAGUCAGUGGUUAAAAGGCCUGGAGAAUCCCACAGACUGACCUGUACAGCCUCUGGAUUCACAUUCAGUAGCUACUGGAUGGCCUGGGUCAGACAGGCACCUGGAAAAGCACUGGAGUGGGUUGCAAGCCAUUAUAACAGUGCUAACAUCCACUACUCUCAGUCAGUCAGAGGACGAUUCACCAUCUCCAGAGACAACAGCAGACAGCAGCUGUAUCUGCAGAUGAGCAGUCUGAGGACUGAAGAUUCUGCUGUUUAUUAUUGUGCUCGAGACUCACAGUGA